rnacentral:misc_RNA from 1 species
GAUGAAGAACGCAGCGAAAUGCGAUAAGUAAUGUGAAUUGCAGAAUUCAGUGAAUCAUCGAAUCUUUGAACGCACAUUGCGCCCGCCAGUAUUCUGGCGGGCAUGCCUGUUCGAGCGUCAUUUCAACCCUCAAGCCCCCGGGCUUGGUGUUGGGGAUCGGCGUGCCCUCGCGGCGCGCCGUCCCCUAAAUCUAGUGGCGGUCUCGCUGUAGCUUCCUCUGCUUAGUAGCAACACUCGCACUGGAUCGCAGCGCGGCCACGCCGUUAAACCCCCCACUUCUGAAAGUUUGACCUCGGAUCAGGUAGGAAUACCCGCUGAACUUAAGCAUAUCAAUAAGCGGAGGA